rnacentral:rRNA from 1 species
AGUGGCAGACGGGUGAGUAACACGUGGGAAUCUACCCAGUAGCCUGGAAUAACCGCGGGAAACUGCGGCUAAUACCGGAUACGCCCCUCGGGGGAAAGGAGCAAUCCACUAUUGGAGGAGCCCGCGUCCGAUUAGCUAGUUGGUGAGGUAACGGCUCACCAAGGCGAUGAUCGGUAGCUGGUUUGAGAGAACGACCAGCCACACUGGGACUGAGACACGGCCCAGACUCCUACGGGAGGCAGCAGUGGGGAAUAUUGGACAAUGGGGGAAACCCUGAUCCAGCAAUGCCGCGUGGGUGAUGAAGGCCUUCGGGUUGUAAAGCCCUUUUGGCGGGGACGAUGAUGACGGUACCCGCAGAAGAAGCCCCGGCUAACUUCGUGCCAGCAGCCGCGGUAAUACGAAGGGGGCUAGCGUUG